rnacentral:rRNA from 1 species
GACGAACCGAGCGAACGUUAUUCGGAAUCACUGGGCUUAAAGGGUGCGUAGGCGGGCACGCGAGUCAGGGGUGAAAUCCCACGGCCCAACCGUGGAAGUGCCUCUGAUACCGCGAGUCUCGAGGGGGGAUAGGGGCGUGCGGAACUUCCGGUGGGAGCGGUGAAAUGCGUAGAUAUCGUCAGGAAUGCCGGGUGGUGAAGACGGGGUGACUGGGCUGGUUCUGACACUGAGGCACGAAAGCGUGGGGGAGCGAACGGG